UACGGAGGGUGCGAGCGUUGUCCGGAAUCAUUGGGCGUAAAGCGCGUGUAGGCGGCCAGGUAGGUCCGGUGUGAAAACUCGAGGCUCAACCUCGAGAGGUCAUCGGAAACCAUCUGGCUAGAGUCCGGAAGAGGAGAGUGGAAUUCCCGGUGUAGCGGUGAAAUGCGCAGAUAUCGGGAAGAACACCCAUGGCGAAGGCAGCUCUCUGGGACGGUACUGACGCUGAGACGCGAAAGCGUGGGGAGCGAACAGG
rnacentral:rRNA from 1 species